UUGAAUUAGAAUUUAUGAAUCAUUAAACGAAUAACACAUGAUUUCAAUACAUAUUUUAAAAUCACAGAACCAAUAACACUAGAUAUAGUUUGGAUUUUCAAAUCCAUCAAAAUACACCAACCAAUAACCGGGGAAAAAUGCCUUUUUCGACGCCAACUAUUUCCAUCGUGCCUUUUCAUACCCAGAUUAAACAUUGGUGCGAAAACAUACCUGAACGAAGUUUUUCUUUAAAUUUCCAACCCAAACUUCGAUCCGUAUCAUUAAAACCUACCAUGACCAACUUACCGUUAGUCUAACGUUAAAUCUUGCAUAAUCGGAUAAUAUGUGGCAUUUAAUUUAUUCAAACACAAGAACAAAACGACGUCAUUUGAUUCAUUAAUCAAAACGACGUCGUUUUGAAUUGUGGCAAAAUUAAAAUUAAAAACCCCUAGCUCCUUCUUCUUCUUCGACUUACGCUCUCGAGUCUCUCUCUCUGUUAGAUAAGAACACGAAAAUCCCAGAAGCUUGAAGAUCCUAAGGGGUUCUGCGAUCCGAAGGUCUUUCACGACGAGUUUGCGAGUGUUGGAUCAUCGAAAGGAGUUAGCUACUGGAAAAAUGAGGUAAUUUAUUUCCUCAGAAAAUGUUUAGAUUGCUGAUUGUUAGUGAUUGGAAACCAAAAUUGGUUUCGUUUCUUGACGUUUUGUGCUUUUCUUUUGCAGAAUGUUCGAGAUUGUAACAUUUAAUGUUAGUUUCGGUGGAUAAUGGGUGAAGAAAAGAAGCGGCGAUGUUGGCUAUAUUGGUAGAGAUGUGAAAACAAUUGAAUGCAAACCAGAGGAGUUGUUCAUAUCUUUAUUAGAUGAGUUUGGGGAGGGAUUAUAUGUCCAGAGGUUGUGGUACACGCUUCCUUUUGAGAAUCACAAGGAUAGAAAGAAACUGAGCUAUGUUAGAGAUGAUGAUUUCAGAACGAUGUGUAAAGCGGGUGAGUGGAAAGGAGUUGUUAAUUUGUUCCUAGUGAACUCAGUAGAUCAUCUCGACAAAGAGCAGGUUCAGGAACUCCGCGAAGAAGAGAUCCGAGUAGAAAGAAAUGUUGAUGGCUUUGUUGAUGAAGAUGAAGAUUUUGACUAUCAUAACACGCCUCCCAAUUCUGAUGGUGAGGAAGAGGAGGAUAUGCUGAGGUUCAAACCAGGGAGUGGUCACCUAGAGCUAAGGAAAGUGUUUGACACAAUUGAAGAUUUCAAAGAUGCAUUAGUUGAGUAUGCUUUGAAGGGAGGGUGGAACAUUAAGCAGAAUAAAUGGGGGAAAAUUAAAUGUGGGGCUGUGUGUGGGUCUAAAGACCAGUGCUAAUGGAGAACUCUAUUGCUCUUAUGAAGAGAGAUAUGGGAAGUGGAUGGUGAAGACAUAUGAAGAUAAGCACAAAUGCCAAAAGGACGGGUCUUGUAAGAUCCUAAAGUCGGGUGUGAUUUUGAAGCUCUUCAUGGAGGAGAUUAGGAGUGAUGUUGAGUUGAAGCCUAAGUAUAUGCAAGGGCAGAUUGAGCAAAGGUUCAACUUGAUAACCACGAUUGACAAGUGUAAGAAGGCGAAGAAUAAGGCUAUAACCAUCAUCAACCGUGAGCAUGAAGAGCAGUUUAGUAGGCUAAGAGACUAUCGACUUGCGAUUCUAGAGUGAGUUAAAAAAAAUUGUUAGUUGCUCUGUUUUUAGUAAUUUAACUAACAUUUUCAUUUGUAUUUUGUAGUACCAAUCCAGGAUCAACUGUGGAACUAGACACGGUCUUAGAUGAUGAUGGAGCUGAAGUGUUUCACAGAUUCUAUGUGUGCUUUGCAACCAUCCGAUCCUUGUGGAGUAUGUGGUGUCGGCCCAUCUUUGGAUUAGAUGGUUGCUUCCUCAAAUGCACAUUAAAAGGUCAGCUCUUGGCAGCUGUAGGAAGAGAUGCAAAUAACGGAAUGUACCCAAUUGCUUGGGCCGUUGUCGAUGUAGAGAAUGAGGAUAAUUGGACAUGGUUUCUACAGAAACUGCAGAGUGAUUUUAACCUACAAAAAGGUCAAAAUUACACCAUAAUAUCCGAUAGACAAAAGGUAUUACUUGGUUUGGAUGAGUUAGAAUUUUAUUAUCUUUGUUUGAGCUCUGAUUUUUGUUUGUUUUACAUCAUCCAGGGCUUAGUAAAGGCUGUCGAGAUGAUUUUACCAGACGUUGAACACAGGAUGUGUGCUCGCCACAUAUAUGGUUUUUUGGAUCUGUUUUUCCUAGAAGCAUGAACCGUGAAGGUGGUUUUUGAUGGAAACAUGGAUCAUGAAGGCUGUUGUGGUUGCAUAUUUGUCUCUUUUGUUGCUAUGUUGCUUUGUUAAGACUUAUGUAUUCUCAGCUUUGUUGCUUUGUUAUGACUCUUUUGUUGCUUUGUAAUGAUACUUUUGGUGAUUCAAGCAUGGUUUUAUGACACUUUUGGUGAUUCAAAAUGACAACAACAUACUCUUUUAGUGACUCAAAACGACAACAACAAACUCUUGAUUAAAAACGACAACAACAAACCAUCACAAUGUCAUUACAAAACACCAUCAUUGUUCAUACAACAUUAGAUCAGACAAGUCAAUUUCACUACAACAAACCAUACAUAAGCUUCAUAAGGUUCUUAUUACAUCAUCAAUACAUGAACGUGAAGAAGAAAAGCAUGACCAAAGCAAACACUACCAUGUUCUUUAAGCUUCGGAGUUGCAUUUUACACUCUCGGAUCUCCUUCUCAACAACAACUUCACAAACCCGAGUUUUCAUUGUCAAUGUUUCGAUCUCGACUUCACAAGUGUUCACUCCUUUUUGCAAUGUGAUCGAAGCUCCUUCAAGGUUAUCAACUUUGUCAAUCAAGUCUUCAAGCUCUUCAUACAUACUCACAUCAGUCCAUUUAAAAGUAUGAUACCAAUCCUGUAACAUAACAAUAUUGAUUCUCAUACAGGAAGGGGAAGCAUCAAACAAUCUACAUAUUGACACUUACCCCAUCUCUUCCAAAAGGACAAGAAUGAAACAAUCUACCCGGAUUCUUCACAGUUUUUGAUGUAUUCAUUACUACAGCUUCUCCACAACGACAUAUCUUAGGAAUUCCUCUUCCUCGCUCACCCAUUUCUCCCAACUGUAAAAUUCAUCAAUUUUAACUCAAAUCACAGAUUUCAUCAUAUAUUAGCUAACUAAACAAACUUUUCUUACAUAACACAAGCUAUGGAAGACUUACAUUGACGAAAGCCCUUAGAAUCUUAAAGCUUCUGGGAUUUUCGUGUUCUUAUCUAACACAGAGAGAGAGACUCGAGAGCGUAAGUCGAAGAAGAAGAAGGAGCUAGGGUUUUUUAAUUUUAAUUUUGCCCCAAUUCAAAACGACGUCGUUUUGUUCUUGUGUUUGAAUAAAUUAAAUGCCACGUAUUAUCCGAUUAUGCAAGAUUUAACGUUAGACUAACGGUAAGUUGGUCAGGGUAGGUUUUAAUGAUACGGAUCGAAGUUUGGGUUGAAAACUUAAAGAAAAACUUCGUUCAGGUAUGUUUUCGUACCAAUGUUUAAUCUGGGUAUGAAAAGACACGAUGAAAAUAGUUGGGGUCGAAAAAGGCACUUUUCCCCCAAUAACCCCCACCAAAUUAAAGAAUGGAUUAUAAAUAAAAAUUAAUAUAUUGAUUUUGUAAACGAUAAUUAUUAUUUUUAACAAGUAUUUACGUCUAGCGGUUUUACUUACAAUAUGUUUUUUUAAUCUCUGGCAGUUUUGCUUACAUCAUAUUAAAUCAUGGGAAUUUGGCAAAAAGACAACUAUAUUGUUGUCCUCUUAAAUUUAAAACCAAAAUCAAUGUCUCUAUGGUAUAAACAAUAAUAAAAAUCUAGUUUUAUCCUUUUUUUAAAACACAGUUAAUAAAAUUAAAAUUUUACUUUAAUGAAAUAAAAAAUAAAAAGUAAAAACUAAGAAGUAAAAAAAAAGAAAUAGAACCCUACCGUGGUCUCCUACUCUUCUUCUCAAAGAGGCGAUUUCGUUUUUACCGUCAGACUCCUUCUUUCUCUGGCCCAUUUAAGUUUGCCGGAAAGCUUCAACUCAUCGUCACAUCUCUCUGUCGUCCUCCUUCUUUUGUCUUUCCUCUUUGAAAAGACGACCACAUUUGUUUUCAUGGUUGAUGCCUCUGAUCCACACCAGUUUGUUAUCUAGGCAAGUUAAAACCUUCGUAGUUAUUGUUUGUGUUUAUGUAAAUCGAAACACAUUUGGUAUCAGAUUGGAUUAGCCUUGACUAAAAACCACUACCUAUAUACUUGUCAGGAGCUUAUGAUGACGAGGAGACUACUGCUAGAGCUUACGACCUUGCUGCCUUGAAAUAUUGGGGACCUGGAACACUUAUCAGUUUUCAGGUGAGGUUACAAUGAUAGUGUCUUUUGUUCUGAAUUUAUCUUUGUUCUAUAUAGAGGAGUUGUUGUGGCCGAAGAGAUUAGUGGUGGUGCAAUGAAAAAAAUGGUGGUCAAGGCGAUGUGGUGGUCGUUGGAUUCACGUCACACAGCUUGAGGUUGGAUGAAGAAGAUCUCUGAGAUCCAGUGAGGAGGUGGAUUCACGGUUGAAGGGUCGAGACGACUAAGAAGAUACACCAUCGUUCCAGCUUUCUUAUUUGCUAUUCUCGAUACAAUUUUGAGUCCCCAUGAACUCUGAAGGCGAGUCGCCCUUUUCUUUUAUUAUUCUCUUUAUUGUUAAGUCAUUUAUAUAUGUGAUGAGGCUUGUGUUUUGUGGUUCUGUCUCUGGUUAGAGGAGAUUGGCUUUUAUUUCAACAUGAGGUACUUUGAAGAUAUGGUAACAGUUGGUGAAUUUGGACGAUGUUGAGAAGGUGGUGGUCGUGAGCAAGAGGUGGUGGCCGUGAAGAUUAGGUUUAGAUUUUUUUUUGUUUAGUGUAAACAAUUUUUUUCGUUUAGUUUGAUAAACCAUCAUAAUUUUGUAAAAAAUUUUGAUUUAUAAAAAUAUUUUACAUUUA